UACGUAUGUGGCGAGCGUUGUUCGGAAUCACUGGGCAUAAAGAGUUCGUAGGCGGUCUUAUAAGUUGGGUGUGAAAUCCCGGAGCUCACCUCCGGAACUGCACUCAAUACUGUAAGACUGGAGUCCCUGAGGGGUAAGUGGAAUUCCAGGUGUAGCGGUGAAAUGCGUAGAUAUCUGGGAGAAGGCCAAUGGCGAAGGCAGCUUACUGGUAGGUGACUGACGCUGAGGAACGAAAGUUAGGGUAUCGAACGGG
rnacentral:rRNA from 1 species